GACGAACGCUGGCGGCGUGCUUAACACAUGCAAGUCGUACGGUAAGGCCCUUUCGGGGGUACACGAGUGGCGAACGGGUGAGUAACGCGUGAGUAACCUGCCCACAACUUUGGGAUAACGCUAGGAAACUGGUGCUAAUACUGGAUAUGUGCUCCUGCUGCAUGGUGGGGGUUGGAAAGCUCCGGCGGUUGUGGAUGGACUCGCGGCCUAUCAGCUUGUUGGUGGGGUAGUGGCCUACCAAGGCGGCGACGGGUAGCCGGCCUGAGAGGGUGACCGGCCACAUUGGGACUGAGAUACGGCCCAGACUCCUACGGGAGGCAGCAGUGGGGAAUAUUGCACAAUGGGCGCAAGCCUGAUGCAGCAACGCCGCGGGCGGGAUGACGGCCUUCGGGUUGUAAACCGCUUUCAGCAGGGACGAAGCUUUUUGUGACGGUACCUGCAGAAGAAGCACCGGCUAACUACGUG
rnacentral:rRNA from 1 species